rnacentral:rRNA from 1 species
AACGAACGCUGGCGGCAGGCUUAACACAUACAAGUCGAACGGUUGUAGCAAUACAGCAGUGGCGCACGGGUGAGUAACGCGUGGAUAUCUGCCUUUUGGUUCGGAAUAACUCCGGGAAACUGGAGCUAAUACCGGAUGGUUCCUACGGGAUAAAGAUUUAUCGCCAAAAGAUGAGUCCGCGUACGAUUAGCUAGUUGGCGGGGUAAUGGCCCACCAAGGCGACGAUCGUUAGCUGGUCUGAGAGGACGAUCAGCCACACUGGGACUGAGACACGGCCCAGACUCCUACGGGAGGCAGCAGUGGGGAAUAUUGGACAACGGGGGCAACCUUGAUCCAGCCAUGCCGCGUGAGUGAUGAAGGCCUUCGGGUUGUAAAGCUCUUUUGGCGGGGACGAUGAUGACGGUACCCGCAGAAUAAGCCCCGGCUAACUUCGUGCCAGCCGCCGCGGUAAGAC